rnacentral:rRNA from 1 species
UACAGGGGGGGGCAAGCGUUGUUCGGAAUUACUGGGCGUAAAGGGCCAGUAGGCGGCCAACUAAGUCACACGUGAAAUCCCCAGGCUUAACCUGGGAACUGCGUGUGAUACUGGAUGGCUUGAAUUCGGGAGAGGGAUGCAGAAUUCCAGGUGUAGCGGUGAAAUGCGUAGAUAUCUGGAGGAACACCGGUGGCGAAGGCGGCAUCCUGGACCGACACUGACGCUGAGGAGCGAAAGCCAGGGGAGCAAAGCGGG